AGGUUUUCCUGAUGCUGUUCCAAGGCUUUAUGGAAAAUAUUCCAAGAUUUUCUGAAGACAUUCCAUAAAUUCCUGUCCAUAUCCCAAGGUUUUCCUGUGCUUUUUCCAAGAUUUUAUGGAAAAUAUCCCAAGAUUUCGUGAGGAUAUUCCAUAAAUUCCUGUCGAUAUUCCCAGGGUUUCCUGUGCUUUUUCCAAGGUUUUAUGGAAAAUAUCCCAAGGUUUUCUGAGGAUAUUCCAUAAAUUCCUGUCCAAAUUCCAAGGUUUUCCUGUGUUAUUCCAUAAAUUCCUGUCAUUAUCCCGAGGUUUCCUGAUGCUGUUCCACGAUUUUAUGGAAAAUAUUCCAAGAUUUUCUGAAGAUAUUCCUUAAAUUCCUGUAGAUAUCCCAAGGGUUUCCUGUGCUUUUCCCAAGGUUUUAUGGA